AUACGGAGGAUCCGAGCGUUAUCCGGAUUUAUUGGGUUUAAAGGGUGCGCAGGCGGGAGAUUAAGUCGGCGGUGAAAUUUUGCAGGUCAAAUGUAAAAGGGCCUUCGAUACUGGUUUCCUUGAGUGGGGGUGGAGAAGGGGGUAUUUGUGGGGUAGCGGUGAAAUGCUUAGAUAUCACGAGGAACUCCGAUUGCGCAGGCAGCUUACUAAACCACUACUGACGCUCAGGCACGAAGGCGUGGGGAUCAAACAGGAUUAGAUACCCUGGUAGUCCACGCAGUAAACGAUGAUUACUGGCUGUUUGCGAUACAAUGUAAGCGGCUGAGCGAAAGCGUUAAGUAAUCCACCUGGGGAGUACGUUCGCAAGAAUGAAACUCAAAGGAAUUGACGGGG
rnacentral:rRNA from 1 species